rnacentral:rRNA from 1 species
AGAUUGAACGCUGGCGGCAUGCUUUACACAUGCAAGUCGAACGGUAACAGGCCGCAAGGUGCUGACGAGUGGCGAACGGGUGAGUAAUGCAUCGGAACGUGCCCAGUCGUGGGGGAUAACGCAGCGAAAGCUGUGCUAAUACCGCAUACGAUCUAUGGAUGAAAGCGGGGGACCGAAAGGCCUCGCGCGAUUGGAGCGGCCGAUGUCAGAUUAGCUAGUUGGUGGGGUAAAGGCCCACCAAGGCGACGAUCUGUAGCUGGUCUGAGAGGACGCCAGCCACACUGGACUGAGACACGGUCCAGACCUCCGUACGGGAGGCAGCAGUGGGGUAAUUUGGACAA